rnacentral:lncRNA from 1 species
AAGAAAGUUAUAAUAUUCUUAUAUGGAAGACUAGGAAGAAGUUCAGAACUUUUUCAGAAGUAAGCCGCAAUAUAUAGAAACAUUAGAAAAAUCAAAUGCAACACCUUUUGCAGUUGAAUCAGAUAGUGCGUUUUGCAUACUCACGUAUAUUUGGAUGCUAUGUGUAUUGAAGCGUAAACAUUCAUUUUUUGAUGUUUGUACAAUAUUUCAUGACUGUUAAGUUUAUGUUAAUUUAAACAUUAAUUUUUUUUUUGCGUCCACAGAAGCACCAUUGGCAUCAGUAUCAGUUAAUCUGUUAUCAGGUAUGUGUUUUAUAUGUAUUCAAACUUAAACAUUACAUUUUUUGAUGAUUGUAUGUAG